GGUAUAAACGAUGCCCCCCAUAGGGGGCUUCACAGCGAUUUGAGAUUCUGGCCAUCGGAUUGGAUUCAUUGAGUGCAUCUCGGCCGUUCAUUUUUUUCACCACAUCAUAUAAAAAGGACACCCCAUAGUGAAAACCCUAGCCGCAUCUCUCCACUCCCCCCAAUCCCUGGGGCUGCAUCCUUUUCUCUCCCCAAUCCCCACGUUCCUCUCUCUCCCCCAAUCUUCUCAAGACACAUACCAUUUGAUGGUUUCCUCCAUGGCUAGGGCAGGGGAGAAGGAAAGCAUGGUGGAAUCGUUGAGGAGGCGGAGACCAACAUGGAGAAGAACCUGCUGCUCUCUCUCCCUUUACUCCCUGCCAUGCCCUAGCUCAUCCUUUCCCACAAUAAAAAGGAUUUCUGAUUUAGAUACUGGAGGAAGAAGAAGAGGUGGCAAGAAGAGGAGCAAGAGGAGGAGAAGGAAGAAGAGAAGAUCCCCACCUUUACUGUAUGAUUCCUCUUGAUCCAGAUCCAAGGGUUACUGCCCGGAGCAAAGUCGAUGGGGUGAAGUUGUCGAGAAAGGUGUGAAGUCAUGUUGCAGACGUGGAUUUUCCAUCCCAGGUGUCUCAGCAACACGUUUGGGAUGAUGUAUUUGCCAUCGUCGCACCACAUUUAGGUUGUAGGUGUGUGCAUAAGCCAUUUGUGUAAAUGCAUAAGAACAAAGACCGUUCAGGGAAGAAUACUAACACCUCAACUUGGAUUUUUUUACAUGUGUUGUUGCCUGACCGACAAAGAUUAUGCCGAUGUCACGAGAAGCUUGUCAUAAUAAAUUUGUGGGAUGGAGCUUCAGGAGUUUGCUGAUUUUUCUUUACAGCUUAUGGACUUGCUAAGAAGGAAUGUAAAGUGGAGGCAUCAGAGCUUGCUCUCUCAAAUCUUGGUCUGGUCAGUUAUAUAGGCUAUUGGACUAGAGUACUUUUGGAAUUUCUGAAGAAACAUAAGAGCAAUUUAUUUAUCAAUGCCAGUCAGCCAUUUAUUAAGGUGGCACCACUAUAAAGUGUCGACAAGAAAGAGCAUGGGUCGCUGCAGGCACAUCGUACAUGAGCACGACUCCGGCCGACGGACAAUGAGAGGCCAAUGAGGUGCUGAGAUAAGUGCUCAGGUUUACCUUGAAACAUAUAGUCUCUGAGUUGAUUGACCUGGAUAUUUGAGAAAAUGAGCAUACCAGAUUUUUUGCAAUGUUUUCCUGACCAAGCUUAGCACUGCACCUCGUCUUCGUUUAUUGCCACAAAUCUUUGGCCCCCUUAUGGUAUUGGAUAUAGGUGAUUUAAUCCAGAGUGCGCAGGUACCAUUGGAAUGCCCAUGUAAUUACAUUUGAAACUUCUAGCUAUUUUAUGUGAGAUCUGCAAGUUUCCCAAUCUUCUUAGUAUGUCUUUUGUCGGUCGACUGAACAUAAGGGAGAAGCUAGCUUUUCUUUCAAAUGCCAGACUUGGUUAUAUAUCUGGCUAAUUGGUUCCUUGAUAUACUGUUUUACAUGGAAUUCAUUUGUCCUAAAUAGGCGGAUGCUUUGGUGUCCACACAUGCGUCUAUUGCCUAAUUUUCAAAUUCAAUGUCAGAUCCACGAAAAUAAAAGCUGGUUCGGUUCCAAUGAAAUGUAUUUACUUUCAUGAAAAUAUGAGAUGUUACUGAUUUUUAAAUUUGUAACUUUUACUACAUAAUGUACCCAAUGACAACACUUUCUAGACUUCUACCUUUAUGUAAAGGAUAGGAAAAUAUUUCUGACUUGUAGUGAGCCUGAACACUGUGUGUUCAAUUUUAAUUCGACAGGAUAAGUAGGCCCCUCUUUAAUUUUUUAGAAACGAACUCAGAAACUUUGACAGUUCGAAGUUUUGCAUGCUUGCUAAUUAAAGAAGAUGCCUAUAGAAAGCAAAAUACGCAAAGAAACUCCCUGUAGUUUAGUUGCCCAUUUCGAAGGAAAUAUCUGCCGUUUGACGCUCAAACUGUUACGCUUAGCCAUUACAUCAAUGUAUAAGUUACUUGGCGGUAAGGUAUUCUUUCCCUCAUGAACAUUUGUAUUGAAGAAAUUGUUCUUUCUUCUUAUGAUAAUUAUAUAUACAUAUCAUACCCUUUUGCUCUGUUUAUUUUAUUAUGCCCACCCAAGGGCAUGCUACAGUGUUCCCCUUUUUACUUUGAUGGACUCUUAUUGGUGAUGAAAUGAGAGAGUUGUGAUUUUGUGUGUGUAUAAUAUAGCUGGGCGGAAUUGGCUGCGGAUCGGUCCAAAGUUCCUGUAUUCAGGCGCUACUUGCCGCAAGUAGGCCUCGGAUGUGAUUUUUCAAAUCUUAGAAAAGAACUCCAUUUGAAGAAACUGACUUAUUUGGUUCAUAAAUUCGUGCAUACAUUGCUUCCCGGUCUCUGUUAAAUGCAGUUAUUAGAAAGAGUUUAUACAUAUUAUGGAUUCUAUUUCUGUUGAUGCAGGUUUAUUAAUAGUUGUCAUCUACGUACUUAAUUAUCAUGGGUCGAUUCUCUUCCUAGCUUCUUUGUCAUGUAAGCUUUAGUAAAACAAAUGGCUCUGAGAUGUGUAACUGUUAGUGCUUAACAUCAAGAUGUGUCUAUGCCACAUAAGAGGUGGCCUGGCCUAUCUGUGCUUAAAAUUUUGGGCAUGAAUUUUCCCCUUGAUACCAGACUCUACUAAUGUAUCGGGCUGUCUACUAUUUUCAUAAUCUUUACAAGGUUUGGCUUGAAUCAUUGUGUAAAUACUACUAGCACUUUUAGAAUCAGCCAAGGAAAUUAUAUAUGUUUCUUCUUUUUUUGUGUGUGUAAAUUCAAUCAUGUCUAGCCCGAUCAUAGCCCAUUAGCUUGCAUAUAUACUAGCUUUGUACCAUACAAUACUUUCUCUUCAUAUAUUUAUAUUUAGUGUUAGCUUUGUCAAUUUUU